rnacentral:lncRNA from 1 species
CUCAAAGAGAUAGCCAAAGAUCUGAUAUUAUCUGUAGGAGUCAGGUGCUUCCUGUUAAAGAUCUGACGUUAUCUGUAGGAGUCAGGUGCUUCCUGUUGAUGUGCCUUUAAAAGGAGCUGUUUCUGUGAAAUAAAUCAGACUUCUCUUGGUCUCCACCCAGGCUUGAGUGUUCUUUCCUUUCUCAAUCCUCACUCCCCAACUCAGGCAUGUUCGUGAUGUGACAGCUGGACCGCCACAAGUGGCACCUGAAGAGCGACCUGAGUAUUGAGGGAUCCAGUGAAGGACACUGCAGAGAAGAAGGAGGCCUCAACGAAAAGGUAUUCUCCCUUCUCUUCUGCUCCACCUACUUAUGGUUACAGAUAUGUUUAUAGACCUACCACUAUCCCUGAACAGCUUGAAGCUGGGUCUCCACUGAGGAAACCAGAUUGGGACCUCAACAAUGAAGCAACAGAGAAAACUCCAGGAUGUGUC